AAUCAACGCUGGCGGCGUGCCUCAGACAUGCAAGUCGAACGCGAAAGUCCCCUUCGGGGGACAAGUAGAGUGGCGCACGGGUGAGUAACACGUAGGUAAUCUACCUUCGGAUGGGGAAUAACAACCGGAAACGGUUGCUAAUACCGCAUAAUGCAGCGGCACCUAAUGGUGACAGUUGUUAAAGCGGGGGAUCGAAAGACCUCGCGUCUGAAGAGGAGCCUGCGGCGGAUUAGCUAGNGGUUAAGGUAAUGGCUUACCAAGGCGACGAUCCGUAGCCGGCCUGAGAGGGGCGGUCGGCCACACUGACACUGACAUACGGGUCAGACUCCUACGGGAGCAGCAGUCGGGAAUUUGGGCAAUGGGCGAAAGCCUGACCCAGCAACGCCGCGUGAAGGAUGAAAUCCCUCGGGA
rnacentral:rRNA from 1 species